CUAUAUCUUAAGCUUAUUUGUGGAGCCAUAUUUGGCUAAUAGGGCAAUUAGAACAGUGCAGAGACAUAAGAAUACACAGAGCAUGCAGGGAAUAAAGACAUAUCAAACAUGGCUAGAGCACAAGGACCUAUUAGAACAUCAAGGGACACUACUGAAAAGCCAUAUGGGGAUGAAAUUAGGAGGUGCCUUGAAUGUCAUAACUAGGGAAUUUUUACUUUAUGUUUGGACAGUGAAGAGUUGCUGGAGCGUUUAGUCUGAUUUAAUUCUAACGUAACAUGUAUGGGAUGUAAUUAUGGAAUUCCUAUGAUACAUGGAAAUAACGAGUUGUUCUUUUUUUAACCACACAGGUGAAAGAAGAUGUAGGCCAGGACAAAGACAGAGAUCCUGGUUUUAAAAGGACUUACAGGUAGGAGUCAAAGUGUAUUAUUUUCAUAGAAAUAGGGGCUUUGGGGACCGAUGAAAUUUCAUGAGUGUCUAUGUUAGAUUUUGAUUUUGUUGGUUUUGUGAAAGGGAAGAAAAUGAGUACAGUUUGGAAAGUUGUGAUUUUGAAAGAAUUCCAGUUAUUAAUUAGCAACAGAUUCCAGAGCUCAGGAGAGAGGCUGAAGAUGAAGAUAUAAAUCUGAGUCAUCAGUAACACGAAACUACUUCUAGGAAUCCACGUCAUCUUUUCAAAAGCAUAAAGAAGGUAAUCCCCUAACUUCUAGUAACACAUUUUCUACCAAUAAAUUGUAAGUUCUUCCUUUCACUUGUAAAGUGUUAUAUUCAAGUUUUAAUCAUGUUCUUAUUUAUUUUCAUUCUUUUCAAAGUAAUCAUCAUUUUAAUAUGGUUUGCUAAUGUAAAGAAAGCAUUUCAAGAUCAGGUAGGAGUUAAUAGAGUAUCAAAUUUUGUUAUUAGAGCUAGAAGACUUGAAUUACUAAAGUUUUAAAGAGAGCACUUCAAGAUGAUCAAGUAUUGAUUUUAAUAAUAAUUCUUCACUUGCUACCCUGUUUCACAGUAUUCCUAAUACAAAAACACCGAUGCACUCUUUCAUCUAUUUACUUCACUAAUUUUUAUUAGGUGCCUACAAUAUCCCAAGCACUGUACCCAGUGCUUGGAAUGACGAAAGAAAGAGUAUGCUGGAUACUUCCAAGAACCACUGAAAAGUCUUGGUCAUAUGUUCUUUUAGAAAAAGUGAUCAGCAUUUACUCACUACCUGGGUCCACUGACUGCCAUGGGAAGAAUACACUGCUACAAGAAUAGAAAAACUCCCUCUUCUAAAGAGCUUUGUAUUUUUCUUAGGAUGUCAUUGGUCUGAGUCUGUACUACCAUCUAAUUCAACAAACCCUCUGGGACCAUAAUGGGGCCAGUUGGGCAGCUGAAGGAGAAGGCAGAAUGCCAGCAUCUUGAAAGGAAUAGCAUGUGUAUAAUGUAGUUAUUUCCUGGUGAGGGUUUGAUUUUUCUAGGGGAAAGAAAAGCAUUUUGAAUCGUACCAUAGCUAUGU